rnacentral:rRNA from 1 species
GAAUCAACGCUGGCGGCGUGCCUCAGACAUGCAAGUCGAACGCGAAAGUCCCCUUCGGGGGACAAGUAGAGUGGCGCACGGGUGAGUAACACGUAGGUAAUCUACCUUUGGAUGGGGAAUAACAACCGGAAACGGUUGCUAAUACCGCAUAAUGCAGCGGCACCUAAUGGUGACAGUUGUUAAAGCGGGGGAUCGAAAGACCUCGCGUCUGAAGAGGAGCCUGCGGCGGAUUAGCUAGNGGUAA